rnacentral:rRNA from 1 species
GACGAACGCUGGCGGCGUGCUUAACACAUGCAAGUCGAACGGAAAGGCCCUGCUUUUGUGGGGUGCUCGAGUGGCGAACGGGUGAGUAACACGUGAGUAACCUGCCCUUGACUUUGGGAUAACUUCAGGAAACUGGGGCUAAUACCGGAUAGGAGCUCCUGCUGCAUGGUGGGGGUUGGAAAGUUUCGGCGGUUGGGGAUGGACUCGCGGCUUAUCAGCUUGUUGGUGGGGUAGUGGCUUACCAAGGCUUUGACGGGUAGCCGGCCUGAGAGGGUGACCGGCCACAUUGGGACUGAGAUACGGCCCAGACUCCUACGGGAGGCAGCAGUGGGGAAUAUUGCACAAUGGGCGGAAGCCUGAUGCAGCAACGCCGCGUGCGGGAUGACGGCCUUCGGGGUGUAAACCGCUGUCGCCUGUGACGAAGCGGGAGUGACGGUAAUGGGUAAAGAAGCACCGGCUAACUACGUG